rnacentral:rRNA from 1 species
UACGGAGGGGGCAAGCGUUGUCCGGAAUCACUGGGCGUAAAGGGUGCGUAGGCGGGUCUUUAAGUCAGGGGUGAAAUCCUGGAGCUCAACUCCAGAACUGCCUUUGAUACUGAGGAUCUUGAGUCCGGGAGAGGUGAGUGGAACUGCGAGUGUAGAGGUGAAAUUCGUAGAUAUUCGCAAGAACACCAGUGGCGAAGGCGGCUCACUGGCCCGGUACUGACGCUGAGGCACGAAAGCGUGGGGAGCGAACAGG